rnacentral:misc_RNA from 1 species
CGUCAGCCAGACGCACACCUGUAUGCACCCGCCGUGCGAUUUCGCCGCCCCCUUCUUUUGGCUUUCUCCCUCCCUCUCGUUCUCGUUACUAUCUUCGUCGCCGUGAGGGGUUCCUUCUCGCGUCGUGCCUCUGCUCUUCUUCCCGUUAUACGCACAGGAUCUGUGGUCGUGUGCUCGGCGGUACGCCUUCUCCUGCUUACUCCAUCCGCACCUCCUCGCCAGUGUGGCCCCCGCUCUCUUCCUCGUUGCUUUCAUUCGCCACUCGCACUCGACAACCGUUGCUUGUGCCUGUGCGCUGUCUCAUCUGGCCGGUGCGUGUCCGAGUAACGAAAGAGGAAGCAGAAAGAAACAGCGCGCGUGGGGCGUGCUGGGUGGGACGUCAUGACAUCCGUGGGAACGAGCCCCAUCAGUCGCCUUGACUUUGGUGGCAGCACAAGCAGCAGCCAAAGCAGUAGCGCGAGGAGCAGAAGCAGCACUAGUGGAAGCGGCCAGAGCGGUGUGCUACACGUGGACAGCGCUGACUACCACGAUACCGUCAGCCCAGCGGCGUCGUCGCCGUUUCCAGAAUCAACUUUUACGACAGCCGCGACGGUGGAGGGUGCCCCUGCCUUGACUGGAGUGCCUUCACCAGCGAGUUGCUCGGCCAUGCGCCAUACUACGUCGAGCGGGUGCUUCUACAGGUUUGCGGCCACUGCAUCCUCACCACCUCCGCAGCUGCCUGCUCGCUGGUUGCGGCAGCCAGAGGCCUCGUCGACUGGUUGGCCUCUGCAGCCGCACGACCAGAGGCAGCAACAGACGGCCACAACGCGGUCACCAACACAAGCUUGUGACAGCACGUCAACGGCUGCUGUAGCGAGUCGCCAUGCUCGUCCGGCUCCGGCCUCGCCAUCGCCUCGCUCAGACGGUGACAUUGCUGCAGCCGCUACCGGCACCGCCGCGUCUGGGCGAUCGUGCGCCUCACCGCUGCCUCGCCGGUCACACACAGCGGCAGAGGAGCGCCUAUCAGCACCGUCUGCAGCUCUCCCGCGCUCUUUUUACUUCCAGCCGGUGCGUACAACAGAGUCGGUCUGCGUGGCUACGACGGCGUCCUCGUCGGAGUGGGUCCUGCUGAAUGUUGGCGGCCGGCUCAUCACAACGACCGUCGGCACACUCAUGGCGGAUCCUGACAGCGUGUUGGCGUCGCUGUGUGCGUGCCUUGUCCCCCCGCCAGGGCGGGGCGACAUCGCUGCCGGGAAGAAGAGCGGUGCACGCCGCAGUGCAGCAAUGACAACACAGGAGGCCUCGGGGCGCUGUGGAGCCGUCGCCGACGCGACGCCGCCCGGGGAGGAGGCGCCCGAGGGCGGAGUUCGAUGCGACCCGCUAGGACGUGACAACCGCACUCACACCGCCAACCUCGCCGAGGGUCGCAACGCCGACGGCUUGCGCAACAGCGCCGCGGAGAGCGGUGGCGGCGACGCGCAGACUCUGCCUCCGUCGGCAGCGUCGGACGCGGAAGUGUCACCGGCCGCUGAGGAUGGACCACAACAUGCGCCUCAGCACGACAAUGAUAGCGCGCAGCUGGACGGCGAUCGCUCCUCCUUGUUCUCUGAGAUUUACACAUGCCACCGCCCAUUGCACCACUCUAUCGCCUCCACUGCCUCGACCUCGGCAGCACCACCGCCGGCGCUGCAGCGCGUGCCGCACCAGCAUUCUUUGCUCUCCGUGAUGCGGGAGUCGCGGCCUGACUACGUGGCAGCUCACACGCCGCCAGCAGUCAGCCUGCCAGUGGGUGCCAGCGUUGGCGAGGGGGGCGACGGCGAGGCGGUAAGCCCGCAGCAGACGGCCUCUGCCAUACCCCUCGACACAGACGGCGCCAACGCCAUCUUGCUUGACCUGGACGCGGACUACUUCCUGCCGAUCCUGAACUACCUGCGUCACGGUGCUGUCAUGAUCCCGCACUACCUCAGCGUGGCCGGGGUGCUGGCGAUGGCAGAGUACCUGAACGUGAUGGGGCUAGUGCGGCUGCUGCGCGGUCCACCGAAGCCACGGCGCGUGAUGUUGUUCAGCUGGGGCUCCGGCGGCAACGGGGAGCUGGGAACCCAUGCUACACGAGACGAGCCGACGCCGACCAUGGCGCAAGUGACGCCGUUUGGCGUGCGGGUGUGCGAGAUUGCGCUGGGGGCGAACUACAGCUGCGCCUUGAGCGACACCGGCAGCAUAUACACUUUUGGUAACGGAGAGUGGGGUCAGCUGGGUCUCGGCGGAAGCGGCUGUGCCGUGCGCGGUGGCAGCAGCCCCCCAGGUGGUGGCGUGGGCGGUGGCAACGGCACCGGCCAGGAUGGUGUCGACGUGCCGGUGGAGCUGCUUAUCCCGCGCCGGAUUCCGCUGUUUGAGCAGCUGCCGGCGGUGCACGUGGCGGCCGGGUACGCGUUUGCUAUGGCCAUUGUGGAGGGCCACCAUGUCUACUUCUGGGGCAACAACAACCACGGCCAAAGCGGCCGCGGACGCGCCCACUUCGACUUGCCGACGAAGAAGGUGGAUGCGCCAGUGCUGGUGGACACGCUGGAGGGCAAGCGCAUCAUCCAGCUGAGCUGCGGCAGCUUCUUCGCGCUGGCGCUAAGCGAUGAUGGCUUUCUGUACAGCUGGGGGCUGGUGGACUGCGUCGGCCUCGGCACGCCGGAAGAGGUGGAGCGUCGCUAUCGCGACGUUCUGGGCGAGUCCCUCAGCAACGAGCGCCGCGCUGUCGUGCUGACGCCGCAGCUGGUCACCGUGAAGGGCAGGCGGCGAGUCGCUCCCGGCGGGGCGGCCGUGACUGCGCCGGAGCGCAUUGUGCGCAUUCGCGCCGGACAGUGGCAUAGUGGUGCCAUCAACGAGCACGGAGAGCUCUUUACAUGGGGUGUGGGAUAUCAAGGCCGGCUCGGGCAUGGCUCCAAAGCCCCAGCCUACGUGCCGACGCUGGUGCGCGGCGCGCUUGAGGGCCACCGGGUAGUGGACGUGGCCUGCGGCUCCUUCCACACCGUCGCCCUCACUGCCGCCGGUGCCGUCUUCUGCUGGGGUGACAAUGCGAGUGGGCAGUGCGGCACCACGGCUGGCAGCCCCGACGCCUUCACCGCGCCUUAUCGGGUCGUGGGUCUCGAGUACGUGGCCGGCGGUGUGGCUCGCAGCAUCGCCUGCGGCCGGCAGCACACUGUCGUCGUGAUGGAGGGUCCGCAGCCGUGGUGCCCGCAGCCAUGCUGCCGCGCCGACGCUGCCGAGUCUGGGUGCCACUCCCAUGCGCAGGUCUACUGCUUCGGCGAGGCAACCCGGACGGCAAACGCAACCGGUUCGACUGCCUCUGCUGUGGCCGCGGCUGCUGUGAGUGGCGCGACGCGUGGCACGGUUUCCUCCAGCCACAUCGGGGUGUCCGUGGCCGCGAUGAACGCAGGCGCUCUGCCUGCCUCUCCGGGCCACGGCCCGUAUAUGACGGGUGGUGCUGCCGGCGGCUACCAGCCUGCUCUCGCACCUGGCGGUGCUGCUGCUGCGUUCCCGACCCGCUCGCCGCUCCCGUGCACGGGAGGCCAUCAUCACCCACACUAUCAGCUCGUGCCCGGCCUGCAAAAUGUUGAUGUACGAGGGGUCGUGAGCGGGCUGCAUCACACCUUCGCCUACGUCGAAGAGCUCUGUGCCGAUGCACUGCGGGUCGCUGACGGAUUCGGCGAAACGCUGCCUACUGCGACACGCGGCUGGGAGCACCGGCCGAGCUACCCCCCUUACCCACCUCCACUGCUGCCACCCCAAGCAGCAUCGGCAGCGGAGAGCCACGUGAGCCACUCGGCAUUCACGUGGGGAUCAAGAGGCUGUAGCAGCGGCGGCACUAAUAUCAGCUGGGCCAGAUCGUUCAUGCCCCCAACACCGGCAUCGCAGCGGCCACCCUCCGCGUACCGUGACCCGUGGACGGAUGCCCCGGUCGAGAGCAGCACGGACAGCGUCGGCGGCCGCAUCAUGCCGCUCACCAGGACCCGUACAAUGCACCCGACGUCAUGGAGCAGCGACCGCGUAACGACGCCUUUCACAGGUGCUGCUUCUUCGCAGCAGCACCAUCGCUUGGCGAGCCCCCUCACGGGUAGGGAAGAGGGCGCGUACUUGGAGAUGAGCCGCGGUAACGGCGACAACGGUCGACUUGCCGGCUCCGCUGAUGCCGUUUGAGUAGUAAAGGAGCCGCCCGAACUUCGACGGACCUGUGGAUGCGACUGUGUGUGUGUGUCUGCCUUUCACUGUCUUCGCGUUUUCCAGGCUGUUGCUGGUGCUCGCGUGCGUGUACGUUGGUGCAUAUCUCGUUGUCGACUGAUGACAUCAGGACACUGCUGGUGCACUGGCCGAUGCCGUGUGGGGGAGAGGUUGAUGCCUACAAGGGAGGGGAGUAAGGUAGACUACCACCGCAGCUCAUCAGCAGAGUACCAGCGACAGCCGCGCUGAGAGGAGCCCUUCUUCCCGCUCUACGUCUGCAGAUGAAGCGCUCCAUGCGAACAACACAUGAAGGAGAACACCCGCGAGAGUACGUCUAUACAUAGUUCUUUCCGACAUAAACGACGCAGAUGCGCUUGGUACGCGUGUGGGCACAUGCUUGGGAAUGUGCUUGCUGUGGGAGAGGGCACUUCGGCGCGCACGCAAACGCGACCUCGGCGCGCUUGUCCUCUUCGUUCCGGUGGUGCAUCCCUCUUCCCUUUAUAAGCUGCAGAGACACGGACUUUGACCGCCUGCUUCCACGCGGGCCUGCCUCCCUCCCUUUUUUCUCUUGUGCUUUCCCGUCUCCUCCGCCACCCUCAGCGUUGCGCGAGUCUCUCUCAUGCUUUCACGCCUCUGCGCCUCUCCUCGCGCCCGAACUCACCAUUGAUGCCGUCUCACCACACCGCUGUCUCUCCUUUCUGCCCGCUUCGCUCUGCCCAUCUCCGUUUCUUUCGGCUCCUGCGUAACGCGCGUAG